CCGAAUUCCGAGGAGACUGUCAGGCUUGGGAUCGGGAGAGGUAUGAGGUACUUCAGGGUAGGGGUAAAAUCCUGUAAUCCUUGGAGGACCACCGGUGGCGAAGGCGUCAUACUAGAACGAAUCCGACGGUGAGGGACGAAGCCCUAGGUCGCAAACGGGAUUAGAUACCCCGGUAGUCUAGGGUGUAAACGCUGCAGACUUGGUGUUGGGGGCCCUUCGGGGGCAUUCAGUGCCGGAGAGAAGUUGUUAAGUCUGCUACUUGGGGAGUACGUCCGCAAGGAUGAAACUUAAAGGAAUUGGCGGGGGAGCACCGCAAACCGGGAGGAGCGUGCGGUUUAAUUGGAUUCAACACCGGAAAACUCACCAAGGGAGACCAUCACAUGAAAGCCAGGCUAAUGACUUUGCUUGAUUCUUGGAGUAGAGGUGCAUGG
rnacentral:rRNA from 1 species